UACGUAGGUGGCAAGCGUUGUCCGGAUUUCUUGGGUUUAAAGGGUGCGUAGGCGGUCAUGUAAGUCAGCGGUGAAAUCCGGCAGCUCAACUGUCGAUGUGCCAUUGAUACUGCAUGACUUGAGUACUGAUGAGGUAGGCGGAAUUGACGGUGUAGCGGUGAAAUGCUUAGAUAUCGUCAAGAACACCGAUAGCGAAGGCAGCUUACUAAAGAGUAACUGACGCUGAGGCACGAAAGUGUGGGGAUCAAACAGG
rnacentral:rRNA from 1 species